rnacentral:rRNA from 1 species
AACGAACGCUGGCGGCAGGCUUAACACAUGCAAGUCGAGCGCCCCGCAAGGGGAGCGGCAGACGGGUGAGUAACGCGUGGGAAUCUACCCAUCUCUACGGAAUAACGCAUGGAAACGUGUGCUAAUACCGUAUACGUCCUUCGGGAGAAAGAUGUAUCGGAGAUGGAUGAGCUCGCGUUGGAUUAGCUAGAUGGUGGGGUAAAGGCCUACCAAGGCGACGAACUAUAACUGGUCUGAGAGGAUGAUCAGCCACACUGGGACUGAGACACGGCCCAGACUCCUACGGGAGGCAGCAGUGGGGAAUAUUGGACAAUGGGCGCAAGCCUGAUCCAGCCAUGCCGCGUGAGUGAUGAAGGCCCUAGGGUUGUAAAGCUCUUUCACCGGUGAAGAUAAUGACGGUAACCGGAGAAGAAGCCCCGGCUAACUUCGUGCCAGCCGCCGCGGUAAUAC